rnacentral:rRNA from 1 species
CCUACGGGGGGCAGCAGUGAGGAAUAUUGGUCAAUGGCCGUAAGGCUGAACCAGCCAAGUCGCGUGAAGGAAGAAGGAUCUAUGGUUUGUAAACUUCGUUUAUAGGGGAAUAAAGGUAUCCACGUGUGGAUAUUUGCAUGUACCCUAUGAAUAAGCAUCGGCUAACUCCGUGCCAGCAGCCGCGGUAAUACGGAGGAUGCGAGCGUUAUCCGGAUUUAUUGGGUUUAAAGGGUGCGUAGGUUGUUUUUUAAGUCAGCGGGGAAAGUUUGUGGCUCAACCAUAAAAUUGCCGUUGAAACUGGAAGACUUGAGUGUGUUUGAGGUAGGCGGAAUGCGUGGUGUAGCGGUGAAAUGCACAGAUAUCACGAAGAACUCCGAUUGCGAAGGCAGCUUACUAAGCCAUAACUGACACUGAGGCACGAAAGCGUGGGGAUCAAACAGGAUUAGAUACCCGGGUAGUC